rnacentral:snoRNA from 1 species
AAAAUACACCUUGUCUGACACAAUUUGAGCUUGCUAUAGGAAGAAAGUCUAGCCUAUUCUGGUGUUUUCUUCCCAAUAAGACAACCCGUUAUACAGGCUCAAACAAU